GCCUGGGUGGCUCAGUCCAUUAAGCAUCUGACUUCAGCUCAGGUCAUGAUCUCACGGUUUGUGGGUUCAAGCCCCACAUCAGGCU
rnacentral:tRNA from 1 species